rnacentral:lncRNA from 1 species
UCAUUUGGUCUUUUAUGGGUUGUAUCGUGGCUUACGGCAUAAGGUAGGAAUUUUUAGUACGAGGCUAAGGUCAUUCUGAACUUCAUUUUGGGCAACAGACUUCCCAGAUUUUUAAGAUCCAUACCUAUUCUUGCGGGCCUAAGUACAUACUAACCAAGACAUUAACUUUUUUUUUUCUCUUUUUUUUUCUUUUAUUUCUUUUUCUUUUUCUGGACUUUUUCUCUAUUUUGGGAUUAGAUGUCCCAUUUCACAAUUUUUGCACUAGUCCUGCCCAUAGGAUCCACUACAUUAUCUCCUCUUCUUUUGCCCUUAAGUUCAGUUUGACCGGGACGGCUCAAAUCUAGGCAAAUUUAUAAGUGAAUUCAAAUGAAUUAUUAAGCUCAAGAGGGUUUGCAAGUGAUAGAUGUAGGGUUGGUCAGUUUGGCUUUGUGGGCUAAAGAAAGAAUUGCCUAAAU